rnacentral:rRNA from 1 species
GACGAACGCUGGCGGCGUGCUUAACACAUGCAAGUCGAACGGAAAGGCCAGUGCUUGCCCUGGUCCUCGAGUGGCGAACGGGUGAGUAACACGUGGGUGAUCUGCCUUGCACUCUGGGAUAAGCUUGGGAAACUGGGUCUAAUACCGGAUAUGAACUGCCGUUAGUGUGGUGGUUGGAAAGUUUUUUCGUUGCGAGAUGAGCUCGCGGCCUAUCAGCUUGUGUGUGGGGUAAUGGCACACCAAGGCGUCGACGGGUAGCCGGCCUGAGAGGGUGUACGGCCCCGCUGGGCCUGGGAUAAGGCCCAGACCCGUACGGGAGGCAGGAGUGGAGAGGGGUGUACAACGGGCGGAGGCCUGAUGCGGCGACGCCGCGUGGGGGAAAACGGGCUUCGGGUAGGAAACUAAUUUUCUCAGGGACGAGGCGUAAGUGACGGUACCUGUAGAAGAAGCCCCGGCUAACUACGUG